rnacentral:rRNA from 1 species
AUAAUGCUGCAGUAACACAUGUUACAGCAGCCAAAGAUUUAUCGGCUGGGGAUGGGCCUGCGUCUGAUUAACUGGUUGGUGAGGUAACGGCUCACCAAGGUAACGAUCAGUAGCCGACCUGAGAGGGUGAUCGGCCACAUUGAAACUGAGACACGGUCCAAACUUCUACGGAAGGCAGCAGUAAGGAAUCUUGCACAAUGGGGGAAACCCUGAUGCAGCAACGCCGCGUGAACGAUGAAGGCGUUAGGGUUGUAA